rnacentral:misc_RNA from 1 species
CGCACCUUGCGCCACGUGGUAUUCCACGAGGCACGCCUGUUUGAGUGUCACGAUCACCCUCGCGUCGCCGAAUGUCAUGUUCGGAGGGGCGGAUUUGGACGCUGCCGUCGUUGGCUCGUCUCGAAAUGCAUUAGCUGUCUAAGGACUACGCCUCUGGUGUGAUAAUUUACUUCUCGCCGUCGGUGCAAUGUCUGGUGAAGGCUCACAAACCGUCCGCAAGGACAACAUUAUAAAGCUUUGGCCUCAAAUCAGGCGGGACUACCCGCUGAACUUAA